rnacentral:rRNA from 1 species
UGAGGAAUAUUGGUCAAUGGGCGCAAGCCUGAACCAGCCAUGCCGCGUGCAGGAUGAAGCAUCUAUGGUGUGUAAACUGCUUUUGUACGAGAAGAAACACUCCUACGUGUAGGAGCUUGACGGUAUCGUAAGAAUAAGGACCGGCUAACUCCGUGCCAGCAGCCGCGGUAAUACGGAGGGUCCAAGCGUUAUCCGGAAUCAUUGGGUUUAAAGGGUCCGUAGGCGGUUUUGUAAGUCAGUGGUGAAAGCCCAUCGCUCAACGGUGGAACGGCCAUUGAUACUGCAAGACUUGAAUUAUUGGGAAGUAACUAGAAUAUGUAGUGUAGCGGUGAAAUGCUUAGAGAUUACAUGGAAUACCAAUUGCGAAGGCAGGUUACUACCAAUAUAUUGACGCUGAUGGACGAAAGCGUGGGGAGCGAACA